rnacentral:RNase_P_RNA from 1 species
GUAAGUCAGAUGGUCGCAUACUUUUAGUAUGAGGAAAGUCCGAGCUCCAUAGAGCAAGGGUGCUGGAUAACGUCCAGUGGAGGCGACUCUAAGGAAAGUGCAACAGAAAUAAACCGCCUAUUUUUAGGUAAGGAUGGAAAGGUAAGGUAAGAGCUUACCGCCCUUUUGGCGACAAAAGGGGCUCUGUAAACCCCACCUGGUGCAAGAACAUUGAAACAUAUAGGUUGCUCGCCUGUUUCAUAAAAAGUUCGCAAGAGGUUACUGGUAACAGUAGCACUAGAUAGAUGACCAUCAAAUACAGAACUCGGCUUAUAGACUUGCUUAU